UUCCUAAAGGGACGUCUUCGAACGUCAUCUAAGACCAAGUUAAGGAAAUUUCCGGAAGGAGCUUUAGCUUUUGAGGUUGAACGUGGACGGGCAGGCGAUGGUGUUGGGUAUGAAUCCUCGAAUUAGACAAUAGGUAGCCCAGGGUAGUAUGUCUCCAUACAUACUGCUUUGUCUUGGACGUUUCCGCUGUAAUAGGAUUUUAUGUUAGAAGGAUUGUGAACCUAGACCGCACUCUGACUUUAUGUUGUCCCAUUUCACUUUCACCUGCGAGACUUUUGUCCUAGGUUUCAUCUUAUAAAUCAUGUUUAUUUUCA